rnacentral:sRNA from 1 species
GCUGGGUUCAGUGGUGCAUGCCUGUAAUCCCAGUAGCUUGGGAGGCUGAGGCAGGAGGAUCGAGAGUUCAAAGCUAGCCUCAGCAAAAUCGAGGUCUCAACUGAGACCCUGUCUCUA